CCCUAGGUAUCCUGUUUAUUGACAACAAGGCUCUGACCCACUCCAGGCUGGCCAGGCAGGGACUCCGCUAUGUGUUCACCUACCUGCCCCCGGGGAGCCUGGCUGAGGGGCACUAUUCUGGGCAUGGAAUGCCAACCAGGCUGCCGCGUCUGGUCUGGCGUGUACUGAGGAGCAGCCGCGGUGCAGCCCCAUCCAGACCCACUGCCGAGUGCGGGCGCGCAAGGCUCCCGACCCUGGCCAAGGGGCAGGGUCUCUGCUGUACCAGAUCCCAGCGAGGCUGCCUGCCCAGGUGGCAGCAUGGAGACCCUCUUCCCCGCCCCACUCUGGGAGGUUCUCUACAACAGCCACCUGCAGGACAACCUGUCCCUCGUGAGCCCCAACCACAGCUUGCCACCCCACCUGCUGCUCAAUGCCAGCCACGGUGCCUUCCUGUCCCUCGGACUCAAGGUCACCAUCGUGGGGCUCUACCUGGCUGUGUGCAUAGGGGGACUGCUGGGAAACAGCCUCGUCAUGUAUGUCAUC